UACGGAGGGGGCUAGCGUUGUUCGGAAUUACUGGGCGUAAAGCGCACGUAGGCGGACCAGCAAGUUAGGGGUGAAAUCCCGGGGCUCAACCCCGGAACUGCCUUUAAAACUGUUGGUCUGGAGGUCGAGAGAGGUGAGUGGAAUUCCGAGUGUAGAGGUGAAAUUCGUAGAUAUUCGGAGGAACACCAGUGGCGAAGGCGGCUCACUGGCUCGAUACUGACGCUGAGGUGCGAAAGCGUGGGGAGCAACAGGAUAGAUACCCGAGUA
rnacentral:rRNA from 1 species